rnacentral:rRNA from 1 species
AGUGAACGCUGGCGGCAGGCCUAACACAUGCAAGUCGAACGGCAGCACAGUAAGAGCUUGCUCUUACGGGUGGCGAGUGGCGGACGGGUGAGGAAUACAUCGGAAUCUACCUUGUCGUGGGGGAUAACGUAGGGAAACUUACGCUAAUACCGCAUACGACCUUCGGGUGAAAGCAGGGGACCUUCGGGCCUUGCGCGAUUGGAUGAGCCGAUGUCGGAUUAGCUAGUUGGCGGGGUAAAGGCCCACCAAGGCGACGAUCCGUAGCUGGUCUGAGAGGAUGAUCAGCCACACUGGAACUGAGACACGGUCCAGACUCCUACGGGAGGCGGCAGUGGGGAAUAUUGGACAAUGGGCGCAAGCCUGAUCCAGCCAUGCCGCGUGGGUGAAGAAGGCCUUCGGGUUGUAAAGCCCUUUUGUUGGGAAAGAAAAGCAGUCGGUUAAUACCCGAUUGUUCUGACGGUACCCAAAGAAUAAGCACCGGCUAACUUCGUGCCAGCCGCCGCCGUAACAC